rnacentral:lncRNA from 1 species
GGACAUAUUGUAGAGGGAUGGGGAAUGCCCGACAGAGGAAACCUAGACCCCGUUCAUCAGCGCAGUCAAACAGUCAAGGGACUGCUUUGACAGCAAAAGUGGCGGAGCUGCAGGGUCAGAUGUCAGUGAUUCUAAAGUCUCUCGCGCGGUUCAGCAUUCCUGUCCCAUAAUUUGAUGCGUCGACCUCUGCCCCUGUGGACGCCCAGACCACCGAGCUUGUCCAUCCUGAGCAUGCCCACC